GGUAGUCCUAGCCCUAAACGAUCAGGACUUGGGGUGCAUCCCGACGGGGUGCGUCCCGUAGCUAACGCGUUAAGUCCUGCGCCUGGGGAGUACGGUCGCAAGACUGAAACUCAAAGGAAUUGACGGGGGCCCGCACAAGCGGUGGAACAUGUGGUUCAAUUCGACGCAACGCGAAGAACCUUACCUGGGCUUGAACCGCUACUGACCAGUGGUGGAAACAUCGCCUUCCCGCAAGGGACAGUAGUAGAGGUGCUGCAUGGCUGUCGUCAGCUCGUGCCGUGAGGUGUUGGGUUAAG
rnacentral:rRNA from 1 species